ACUCUGACAUGUCCAGGGAGGGAGAUCCUACCCAUCUGUGAGCAUGAGGAUGAGGAGCUUGCUUGCUCCAAGGGAGGAAGAAAGGAAGUGAGUACCUGUGGCUUGAUCAUCUCCUCUCCUGGCUUUGGUGGUUCAGCAAAGGUUUGGGUAACCACGCUGGGGACAUCCAGCUGAGCCAGGAGGGCAGGAGAUGAGGAGGAGCCUCGUGACAUUCCAGUGAGCAGCCAUGGCCCAUCCCUGACAUCCUCAAGCCAUAUUUGCAGGGGAAAAGCAGCCCCUGUCCUUGGGACUGUGGCACUGAGGGUCCCCUCCCUGUGCUUGGCAGGAUGGAGGACAGAGAAUCACUGGUGCAAAAAUGGGCUGAGCUGUGCCUCUGCACCCUGAAGAAUGUGACUGUGGGACAUGGUGCCAUCCUGAGGGACCUGGACAAGCUUGGGAAGUGGGCCAUGGGAAUCUCAAGAGGUUCAACAAAGCCAGUUGCUGCACCUGGGUUGAGGCAAUGCCUUUUAUCAAUCCAGGUAUGUGGGGCUGACAUAGGUCUGAAUUAAGGCUCCAGGUUCUGCCAGUGUCUGUGUGAAAGGCAAGCGAGCAACUUUCUCAUGUUAGCCUGAGAAAUCUUAAAGAAGAAUUCAAAUAAACCUUGGGAAGUGAGAAACUAUCUGCAGGUGGUGUUUUUCCAACAUGUUUAUUGGAAAGAAAUGUUUACAAAAGGGUGCAGACACUGAAUAACCAAUCAUGUUCUUUGUACCGAACUACUCUAUAAAAGUAGAAUUUAGAA